UAGGCCAGUAGCUCUAACGGAUAGAGCACCGGACUCCAAAUCCGGGGGAUGGGGGUUCAAAUCCCUCCUGGCCUGUUCA
rnacentral:tRNA from 1 species